AGCUAGCCAUAACACCAGGUUUUAUUCACCAUUUUCUACAUAAGAAAAUACCUGUACCAAGUCAGGAAUAUGACAGUUGUUUUCCAUUCGUUUGAUGUGUUUGAGCUUUUUGAUUUUGCCAUUUGAUAAGGAACUUUCCGAUUUUAAUUUUCCUUGGAGUUCGGUAUGUUUGCUAUUUUACAUUUUAAAUGAACUUAUUACAAAAGGUUACCAAUUCAACACUGUAAUUAGAUCUUUGAAUAUUUUUUUGAUUGGUAUACAUAUUGGUUGUGUUAUCAGUAAAUUAUAACACUACUAAAUAGCAUUGUUAUGCACCACUAUCCCGGCAGGUUAGAGGAGGGUUGACCGCUCACAAACAUGUUUAACCACGUCACAUUCUUUAUGUGCCUGUCCUAAGUCAGGAGCCUGUAGUUCAGUGGUUGUCGUUGAUUCCUGUCUGUCAUAUUUGUUUUUCGUAAAUUGUUUUGUUUUAAAUUAGGCCUUGAAUUGUUUCAUAUUUUCCAUGUCGAGGCCUUUUAAAGCCGACUAUACGGUAUGGUUUUAUCUCAUUGUUGAAGGACUUACAGGUCCUAAUAUUUGCUGAAAUCCACUUCAUUUUUGGUGGAUAGUUGUCUCAUUAGCAACCACAUCUUCUUAUUUUUAUAUUAAAGAUUUUUAUUCACGAGUUUUCUAGUUGUUUCGUUAUCUCUCAAGCAAUGGAAAGGAAGAACAAUGUACACAUGUUAUUAUUAUGAUCAAUAUUACUCAUAUAUUAAACUUUGUCGUACAGUAACAACACAUCAUGCUAGCUUGCUUGAAAAAUGUUCUUAUUGAUUUGACAAAGUCAUAUUUGUCAAGAGAGAGGUGGAAGAUGCGAAAUGGACUUCAAACUCAUUGAAAAUAAGUUGAAAAUAAACUGACAACAGC
rnacentral:lncRNA from 1 species